rnacentral:rRNA from 1 species
CUUGAACGCUGGCGGCAGGCCUAACACAUGCAAGUCGAACGAGUGGCGGACGGGUGAGUAAUGUCUGGGAAACUGCCUGAUGGAGGGGGAUAACUACUGGAAACGGUAGAUAAUACCGCAUACCAUCAAAUGUGCCCAGAGGGGAUUGGCUAGUUGGGGGGGUAAAGGCUCACCAAGGCGACGAUCCCUAGCUGGUCUGAGAGGAUGAACAGCCACACUGGAACUGAGACACGGUCCAGACUCCUACGGGAGGCAGCAGUGGGGAAUAUUGGACAAUGGGCGCAAGCCUGAUGCAGCCAUGCCGCGUGUAUGAAGAAGGCCUUCGGGUUGUAAAGUACUUUCAGCGGGGAGGCGUUACCCGCAGAAGAAGCACCGGCUAACUCCGUGCCAGCAGCCGCGGUAAUUC